UAACUGGACCAUAGUAGAUGAAUCAGAACCUAAAGGUAACUGGACCAUAGUGUGAUAGAUGAAUCAGAACCUAAAGGUAACUGGACCAUAGUGUGAUAGAUGAAUCAGAACCUAAAGGUAACUGGGCCA